UAUCAGCUGCGUUGUACGUAACAUUAAUUAAGUUUUAACCUUUAAGCUGAAAUAGGGAGUUUUAACAUUGAAGAAGGAAUAUCAUGCCUCUUCCUUAGAGGACGAUAGGAGAUCUUCUGCGAACACCCACUUGUUGGAGUGUGGUUUUAAAACUUCAUUAAACGUACGGCAAUCGCGGCACUUAA
rnacentral:other from 1 species